rnacentral:antisense_RNA from 2 species
CUCAAUGGCGGCUGUGUGCGGGAGACCUUCGGGUCUGCCGGGUUCCUGGUUUCCCGGUCUUGCAGACCCGCGCAUAGCUGCCACCCAU